rnacentral:rRNA from 1 species
UACGGGAGGCAGCAGUGGGGAAUAUUGGACAAUGGGCGAAAGCCUGAUCCAGCCAUGCCGCAUGAGUGAAGAAGGCCUUCGGGUUGUAAAGCUCUUUUAGUGAGAAAGAUAAUGACGGUACUCACAGAAGAAGUCCUGGCUAACUCCGUGCCAGCAGCCGCGGUAAUACGGAGAGGGCUAGCGUUAUUCGGAAUUAUUGGGCGUAAAGAGCGCGUAGGCUGAUUAGUAAGUUAAAAGUGAAAUCCCAAAGCUUAACUUUGGAAUUGCUUUUUAAAAACUGCUAGUCUAGAGAUUGAAAGAGGAUAGAGGAAUUCCUAGUGUAGAGGUGAAAUUCGUAAAUAUUAGGAGGAACACCAGUGGCGAAGGCGUCUAUCUGGUUCAAAUCUGACGCUGAGGCGCGAAAGGCGUGGGGAGCAAAACAGGGAUUAGAUACC